rnacentral:sRNA from 1 species
AAAGUUGAAGUCAAUUUGUCCACAAGUG